rnacentral:rRNA from 1 species
UCUGGUUGAUUCUGCCAGUAGUCAUAUGCUUGUCUCAACGAUUAAGCCAUGCAUGUCUAAGUAUAAGCACUAUACGGCGAGACUGCGAAUGGCUCAUUAUAUAAGUUGUCGUUUAUUUGAUAACUCAUCAUUACACGUAUAACUGUGGUAAUUCUAGAGCUAAUACGUGCUGAAAAUCCCAACUCACGGCGGGAUGUACUUAUUAGAUUAAAAGCCAAUGCCCUUCGGGGCUCCUUGGUGAUUCAUGAUAAUUUCUCGGAUCGCAUGGCCUUGUGCCGGCGAUGGUUCAUUCAAACUUCUUCCCUAUCAACUUUCGAUGCGAAGGUCUUGUCUUCGCAUGGUUUCAACGGGUAACGGAGGGUUAGGGCUUGACCCCGGAGAAGGAGCCUGAGAAACGGCUCCUACAUCCAAGGAAGGCAGCAGGCGCGCAAAUUGACCAAUCCCGAUUCGGGGAGUCAGGGACGAUAAAUACUGAUACAGGGCUCUUUUGGGUCUUGUAAUCGGAAUGAGUACAAUUUAAAUCUCUUAACGAGGAACAAUUGGAGGGCAAGUCUGGUGCCAGCAGCCGCGGUAAUUCCAGCUCCAAUAGCGUAUAUUAAAGUUGUUGCAGUUAAAAAGCUCGUAGUUGAACCUUGGGCCUGGCUGGUCGGUCUCCCUCACCGGAUGCACUGGUCCGGCCGGGCCUUUCCCUCUGUGGAACCUCAUGUCCUUCACUGGACGUGUUGGGGAAGCAGGACUUUUACUUUGAAAAAAUUAGAGUGCUCCAAGCAGGCCUAUGCUCGAAUACUUCAGCAUGGAAUAAUGGAAUAGGACGUGUGGUUCUAUUUCGUUGGUUUUUAGGACCGCCGUAAUGAUUAAUAGGGACAGUCGGGGGCAUCCGUAUUCAGUGGCUAGAGGUGAAAUUCUCAGAUUCUCUGAAGACGAACUACUGCGAAAGCAUUUGCCAAGGAUGUUUUCAUUGAUAAGGAACGAAAGUUGGGGGAUCGAAGACGAUCAGAUACCGUCGUAGUCUCAACUAUAAACUAUGUCGACUAGGGAUCGGACGAUGUUAUUUGAUGACUCGUUCGGCACCUUACGAGAAAUCAAAGUGCGUGGACUCUGGGGGGAGUAUGGUCGCAAGGCUGAAACUUAAAGAAAUUGACGGAAGGGCACCACCAGGGGUGGAGCCUGCGGCUUAAUUUGACCCAACACGGGGAAACUCACCAGGUCCAGACACUGUGAGGAUUGACAGAUUGAGAGCUCUUUCUUGAUUCAGUGGGUGGUGGUGCAUGGCCGUUCUUAGUUGGUGGAGUGAUUUGUCUGCCUAAUCGCGAUAACGAACGAGACCUUGACUGCUAAAUAGCCCGUACUGCCUC